GUUUGUCGACUGUUGGGACGUCAACUUCAAUUGAUGGAUGAGUUGUAUGGCGAGAUCGUUGUUUGAAGUUGUUUACUAUGCCACCAGCUGUGUCAUAGAACUCCUUUGUAGCCUUCUGUUCUGGAUUGUUGCGGUGAUGCAUGAACAGAUUGUCUGCUCUAUUGGAUGUCUGAAGAAUAUCUGCGAUAUCUUUGCGAGAUACGUGUAGUGUGCGGC
rnacentral:lncRNA from 1 species